rnacentral:rRNA from 1 species
AAUGGCUGUAGUCUUCGGGCGACCGAGACAAGUGGUGCAUGGUUGUCGUCAGCUCGUGUCGUGAGAUGUUGGGUUAAGUCCCCCAACGAGCGCAACCCUUGUCCUUAUUAGCCACCACGUCAAGGUGGGCACUCUAUGGAGACUGCCCGGGAUAACCCGGGGGAAGGGGGGGAUGACAUCAAAUCAUCUUGCCCCUUAUGACCAGGGCUACACACGUGCUACAAUGUGGUAAACAAAGGGAAAAGAAGGAGCGAUCCGGAGCAAAACCCCCAAAUAACGCCUCCCUUCUGAUUGUGGGCUGCACCUCUCCUGUAUGAAACUCUAAUAUCUAUAAAUCUCACAUAUCAAUGCUGCGGUGAAUACGUUCCCCGGGCUUGUACACACCGAGAAAUAUUG